rnacentral:rRNA from 1 species
AUUGAACGCUGGCGGCAGGCCUAACACAUGCAAGUCGAACGGUAACAGGAAGCAGCUUGCUGCUUCGCUGACGAGUGGCGGACGGGUGAGUAAUGUCUGGGAAACUGCCUGAUGGAGGGGGAUAACUACUGGAAACGGUAGCUAAUACCGCAUAACGUCGCAAGACCAAAGAGGGGGACCUUCGGGCCUCUUGCCAUCGGAUGUGCCCAGAUGGGAUUAGCUAGUAGGUGGGGUAACGGCUCACCUAGGCGACGAUCCCUAGCUGGUCUGAGAGAAAUACCAGCCAAACGGGAACUGAGACACGGUCCAGACUCCAAGGGGAGGCAGCAGUGGGGAAUAUUGAACAAUGGGCGCAAGCCUGAUGCAGCCAUGCCGCGUGUAUGAAGAAGACCUUCGGGUUGUAAAGUACUUUCAGCGGGGAGGAAGGCGAUAAGGUUAAUAACCUUGUCGAUUGACGUUACCCGCAGAAGAAGCACCGGCUAACUCCGUGCCAGCAGCCGCAGUAAAAC